CUUACACACACAAUAUUCCUGGAGCCUAUAUACAUCUGCCUGUAUGUUACAUUUUUCUGAAAUGGGGUAUUUGAGUUCACAUUUGUAAACACUCUUUCUGUAAAACUUCCCUGUCUAGAUAGUGUGUCUCUAAUCAUUUGUUUGUUAUGAUCCUGGAAGCAAUAUUACAGAUCAAAUUUCAGCUGAUAAUCAACAUGGGAAACGAAUAAUUUGUCUGUUCUGGCUUUUGUCAAUCAGUUCUCAGUACUUGGAAACGAAAUGGCGAAACUGACCCCUUUUGCUUCUUACCUUUCAAAUGCUCUUUUAUUUGGCUCAUCCAUGUGGACUGUUUUGGAUCAUUUUUCUGAAAGAUUAUCCCCAAAUAGCAUUCCACCCCCACUGACUCCUCCUUAUGAUAAACUUGCCAAGAAAACAACUUAAGCAAAUUGAAAGACCUUUUGAAAAGAAAGGAAGUUGCCACAACAUGGUAUCCAAGCCAAGAAAUAUCCCCAGCAUUCUCCUGGUAAUUUUUAGUUGAAGAUUUAUCUAAAGGAAAAGAAAAAUAAUUUAUGGAUUGAACUCCAUCGCAUGACAGUAUUUAAGGUUCGAUCCCUGGUCAAGAAACUGAGAUCCCACAUACCAGCUAAGCAUCUAAGCCCGAGGACAACAACUACUGAGCCCUCAAGCCACAGUGAAAGAGCCAUCCCGCAAGAUGCAACUAAGACCUGACUCAGCCAAGUACAUGAAAAAGAAAAAGAUUCAAGAACAGGGACAGACCGGAACCUGGUGGUCCAGAGUCAAAGAUAAGAAACUGAUAAAGAGAGAGAGAGAAAGAAAGAAAGAAAGACAUGGUGACUGAAGCUCUGAUGGAGCAAAAGUGCUUUAAUGAACUUUCUGUGAGUAUAUAUAGGCUGUUGUACAAGGAAUUUCUUUUGACAACGAUAAAGAUCAGAAAACCAAAUGUACAGCAACUGUUACCAAGGAAACAAGGAAUUAACAAUGGUCAUAAGGUCAGGAGGCAAUCCAUAUCUCAAGAAAGAGGAUCGAGACUAAGCAGUUUUGUCAUAAGGAGAAUGUUUACUGAAGGAGAUUCAUGCAUGUCUCAUCCUAUGACCUCAGUCCUGGGAGCGGCGUGCUGUUCCACUCAUUUCUGUUGCCAGAAACUGAUAAGGAACAGAGGAUUUAUGAGAAACAGCACGUAGGAAUCCUCCUGUUAAACAUUCCCUGACAAUCCUUCAGUAAUCUUUUUUCAAAAUCUAUACUCAUAUGCUGGCGACUUUUGGAAAAAUUACUAAUUUUUCCUUUUAUUUCUUUCCCAUUAGGGAGCCAAAUAUCAACUUAACCUUGGCUGGUAAACAUGAGGCAGAAUUAGAUCUCAACCAAGAAAAAGAAAAAGACCCAAUAAUUUUCCCACAAAAUUGGAAAUAGUAAAGAAUUGAUACUCCCAAAAUAUAAAUAACUAUAACAGCUCUAGAAGUUCCUUAAUAAAUUCCCACAAAUAUUGCAUUACUG
ensembl:lncRNA